GAGUUUGAUCAUGGCUCAGAGUGAACGCUGGCGGCGUGCUUAACACAUGCAAGUCGAACGGAACCUUCGGGUUUAGUGGCGCACGGGUGAGUAAUGUAUAGCUAACAUGCCCUUUAGAGGGGGAUAACAGUUGGAAACGACUGCUAAUACCCCAUACUCCUUCUCAUUAUAAGAUUAGUCGGGAAAGUUUUUUCGCUAAAGGAUUGGGCUAUAUGGUAUCAGCUUGUUGGUGAGGUAACGGCUCACCAAGGCUAUGACGCCUAACUGGUCUGAGAGGAUGAUCAGUCACACUGGAACUGAGACACGGUCCAAACUCCUACGGGAGGCAGCAGUGGGGAAUAUUACACAAUGGAGGAAACUCUGAUGUAGCAACGCCGCGUGGAGGAUGACACAUUUCGGUGCGUAAACUCCUUUUAUAUGGGAAGAUAAUGACGGUACCAUAUGAAUAAGCACCGGCUAACUCCGUGCCAGCAGUCCGCGGUAAUACGGAGGGUGCAAGCGUUACUCGGAAUCACUGGGCGUAAAGCGCAUGUAGGCUGUCUUGUAAGUUGGGUGUGAAAGCCUAUGGUUCAACCAUUAGAACUGCACCCAAUUAUUACUAUACUAGAGUCUGGGAGAGGAAAAUUGGAAUUAGUUUGUGCAGGGAUAAAAUCCCGUAGAUAUAACUAGGAAUACCAAAAGCGAAUGCCACUUUCUGGAACAGCACUGACGCUCAUAUGCUAAAGCGGGGGUAGCAAAUUGGAUUAGAAUACCCUGGGUAUCCCUCUGCCUAAAAGAUGAAUGAUAGUUGUCGGGAGGCUCGUCCUUUCGGUGAUGCAGCUAACGCAUUAAACAUUCCCACCUGGGGAGUGCGGUCGCAAGAUUAAAACUCAAAGGAAUAGACGGGGACCCGCACAAGUGGUGGAGCAUGUGGUUUAAUUCGAAGAUACGCGAAGAACCUUACCUAGCCUUGACAUUGAUAGAAUCCGAUGGAAACAUUGGAGUGCCAGUUUACUGGAGCUUGAAAACAGGUGCUGCACGGCUGUCGUCAGCUCGUGUCGUGAGAUGUUGGGUUAAGUCCCGCAACGAGCGCAACCCUCGUCCUUAGUUACUAACGGUUCGGCCGAGGACUCUAAGGAGACUGCCUUCGUAAGGAGGAGGAAGGUGAGGACGACGUCAAGUCAUCAUGGCCCUUACGGCUAGGGCGACACACGUGCUACAAUGGAUAGGACAAUGAGACGCAAUACCGCGAGGUGGAGCAAAUCUAUAAACCUAUUCUCAGUUCGGAUUGUAGUCUGCAACUCGACUACAUGAAGCUGGAAUCACUAGUAAUCGUAGAUCAGCCAUGCUACGGUGAAUACGUUCCCGGGUCCUGUACUCACCGCCCGUCACACCAUGGGAGUUGAUUUCACCCGAAGCGGGGAAGCUAAACUGGCUACCCUCCACGGUGGAAUCAGCGACUGGGGUGAAGUCGUACCAAGGUAACC
rnacentral:rRNA from 1 species